rnacentral:rRNA from 1 species
AUUGAACGCUGGCGGCAGGCCUAACACAUGCAAGUCGAACGAGUGGCGGACGGGUGAGUAAUGUCUGGGAAACUGCCUGAUGGAGGGGGAUAACUACUGGAAACGGUAGCUAAUACCGCAUACCAUCAGAUGGGCCCAGAGGGGAUUAGCUUGUUGGUGGGGUAACGGCUCACCAAGUCGACGAUCCCUAGCUGGUCUGAGAGGAUGACCAGCCCUACUGGAACUGAUGCACGGGCCAGACUCCUACGGGAGGCAGCAGUGGGGAAUAUUGCACAUUGGGCGCAAGCCUGAUGCACCCAUUCCGCGUGUAUGAAGAGGGCCUUCAGGUUUUAAAGUUCUUUCAGCGGGGAGGCGUUACCCGCAGAAGAAGCACCGGCUAACUCCGUGCCAGCAGCCGCGGUAAUUC